GACGAACGCUGGCGGCGUGCUUAACACAUGCAAGUCGAACGGAAAGGCCCUGCUUUUGUGGGGUGCUCGAGUGGCGAACGGGUGAGUAACACGUGAGUAACCUGCCCUUGACUUUGGGAUAACUUCAGGAAACUGGGGCUAAUACCGGAUAGGAGCUCCUGCUGCAUGGUGGGGGUUGGAAAGUUUCGGCGGUUGGGGAUGGACUCGCGGCUUAUCAGCUUGUUGGUGGGGUAGUGGCUUACCAAGGCUUUGACGGGUAGCCGGCCUGAGAGGGUGACCGGCCACAUUGGGACGGAGAUAGGGCCCAGACUCCUAGGGGGGGAAGCAGGGGGGAAUAUUGAAAAAGGGGCGGAAGCCGGAGGCAGAAACGCCGGGGGGGGGAGGACGGCCUUCGGGUUGUAAACCGCUUGCGCCUGUGACGAAGGGGGAGUGAGGGAAAUGGGUAAAGAAGCACGGGCAAACUACGUG
rnacentral:rRNA from 1 species